CCAAUAGCAUAUAUUAAAGUUGUUGCAGUUAAAAAGCUCGUAGUUGAAUUUCGAAAUUUUUUUAUCGGUUAAAUCAACAGGUUUAUACUGAUUUUAAGAAUUUCUACCUUCUGGAGAACCUUAAUGUCAUUUAUUUGAUGUUUUGGGAAACCAGGACUGUUACCUUGAAAAAAUUAGAGUGUUUAAAGCAGGCUUAUGUCUGAAUAUAUUAGCAUGGCAUAAUGAAAUAGGACGGCAUGGUUCUAUUUUGUUGGUUUCUAGGAUCACCGUAAUGAUUAAUAGGGAUAGUUGGGGGCAUUAGUAUUCAAUUGUCAGAGGUGAAAUUCUUGGAUUUAUUGAAGACUAACUUCUGCGAAAGCAUUUGCCAAGGAUGUUUUCAUUAAUCAAGAACGAAAGUUAGAGGUUCGAAGGCGAUCAGAUACCGCCCUAGUUCUAACCAUAAACGAUGUCGACCAGCGAUCCGUAGUCGUUAAAUGAAUGACUCUACGGGCAGCUUCAG
rnacentral:rRNA from 1 species